AGUCUGCAACCCGGCUACAUGAAGCUGGAAUCGCUAGUAAUCGCGGAUCAGAAUGCCGCGGUGAAUACGUUCCCGGGUCUUGUACACACCGCCCGUCACACCAUGGGGAGCCGGAAAUGCCCGAAGUCAGUGACCCAACCGCAAGGAGGGAGCUGCCGAAGGUGGAGCUGGUAACUGGGGUGAAGUCGUAACAAGGUAUC
rnacentral:rRNA from 1 species